UAUGGAAUGAUUGCCACUGGGU
rnacentral:siRNA from 1 species